GAUGAACGCUGGCGGCGUGCCUAACACAUGCAAGUCGAGCGAUCUUCUUCGGAAGAGAGCGGCGGACGGGUGAGUAACGCGUGGGUAACCUGCCCUGUACACACGGAUAACAUACCGAAAGGUAUGCUAAUACGAGAUAAUAUGCUUUUAUCGCAUGGUAGAAGUAUCAAAGCUCCGGCGGUACAGGAUGGACCCGCGUCUGAUUAGUUAGUUGGUAAGGUAAUGGCUUACCAAGGCGACGAUCAGUAGCCGACCUGAGAGGGUGAUCGGCCACAUUGGAACUGAGACACGGUCCAAACUCCUACGGGAGGCAGCAGUGGGGAGUAUUGCACAAUGGGCGAAAGCCUGAUGCAGCAACGCCGCGUGAGCGAUGAAGGCCUUCGGGUCGUAAAGCUCUGUCCUCAAGGAAGAUAAUGACGGUACUUGAGGAGGAAGCCCCGGCUAACUACGUGCCAGCCGCCGCAGUAA
rnacentral:rRNA from 1 species